UGUACCUUCAAGCUCUGCUUGGUGUUGGGUGUUUGUCUCGCCUCUGCGUGUAGACUCGCCUCAAAACAAUAGGCAGCCGGCGUAUUGAUUUCGGAGCGCAGUACAUCUCGCGCUUUGCACUCAUAACGACUACUUCCAAAAGUACAUUUUUACACUC
rnacentral:misc_RNA from 1 species